ACAUCACUCGGGUGAUUAAUGUACUCUCUUGCAGCAAGGUUCCUCAAAAUCGUCAGAAGGAAGAGUUUUUGAAAGGUGGGGACAAAAAGGAAGACAAGGAGACAUGCGGGAGUUGAAUCUAACGAACUAAUUGCUUCUACUCAUGAAAUAGAUUUCAUGCAUCGCAAGAAACAGAGGUGCCUUGAUUUUUUCACCAGGCUGCAUUCUCAAUUUUUUUCUCAGAAAUAGAUGUCCAAAGUUUGGGUAAAUCAAGAUGUCCACAAAUGAAUGUACGGCAAGGAGAAGCUCAUUUAAGUUCUGGUAAAUCCUUGGCGCUCUACUUCCACUUACAAAGUCCCUCCCGUCGGGAUUCCUGGACUCUCCUCUCGCCCUAACUUCGGAACUUAGACGCAGCCGGGCCGCCAUUGUUUCUGUACAAUAUGGACACGGGAUAAGCACAGAAUGUGGAUGCAGGAUUGACUGUCCCUGCUGCUUGUGGAAGCGCCAAGAACCAGGGGAACGUUCUGUGGAUGCAGGAUUGACUGUCCCUGCUGCUUGUGGAAGCGCCAAGAACCAGGGGAACGUUGCCCACAGAAGCUAGUCUACAAAAUAUGAUCUAUCUUCCAAGUAUUCCAAAUGUGUUAGCAACAGAUGUUCAAAAAUAGAAAUUCCGGGAAGCUCCGUUCCAACAUGUAAUGCAUUAUGCUUUAUCUCAAGUUCGGCUCUCAAUCACCUUCUUUCUCAUAGCACAUGUAUGUACCCAUAUUUAAAGCUUGGACAAGGUCCUCAAAAUUCACUCUCCUGUUUUUCUGCUCUUUUAGACUAUUGCUUGUCCAAAAAAUCUCUAAAAUUCAACAAAAUUAUCCAUGCCCAGUUGAUAAAAUUGGGUUUUAAUGUCUACACCUAUUUGGGUAAUCGCUGUCUCGAUCUGUACUCCAAGUUUGGUAUGGUGAGUGAUGUCUUGAAAGGAUUUGAUGAUAUUAGAUAUAAGAAUUCUACGUCCUGGAAUAUCUGUUUAAAAGGGUUGCUCAGAAGUGGUCAUCUCGAGAAGGCCAGCCAUUUGUUUGAUGAAAUGCCUGUGAGAGAUGUAGUCAGUUGGAACACGAUGAUUUCAGGUUAUGCAUCUCAUGGGUUUGGUAAUCAAGCUUUUCAAAUUUUCCUUGAGAUGCAAAAUAUUGGCACGAGGCCAAGUGCAUUCACUUACACCAUUAUGAUGUCACUCUUGUCAAGUCCUUAUCAAGGUAAGCAAAUUCAUGGCAGGUUGAUCAGAAGUGGGGCAGAUUUCUCAAAUUUGGUACUUGGGAAUUCUUUAGUAAAUAUGUAUGGGAAUUUCGGUCUUGUUGAUUAUGCUUUUGGUGUGAUUCUGACCAUGAACCAGUUGGAUAUUAUAUCUUGGAAUUCUUUGAUCGGGGCCUGCCAUAGUGCCGGACAUCAAGAAUUGGCAUUAGAGCAGUUCCAUCACAUGAGAAGCGCAGAGUUGUUACCUGACCAGUUUACAUCUUCAAUAUUGAUCAGUGUGUGCUCUAACCUGCAAGAUUUGGAAAAGGGUAAGCAAAUUUUUGCCUUUUGUUUCAAGAUGGGAUUCAUUUAUAAUAGCAUUGUAUCAAGUGCAGCUAUUGACCUCUUUUCCAAAUGCAACAGAUUGGAGGAUUCUGUACAGCUUUUUAGAGAACAAGGUCAUUGGGACUCAGCUCUGUGCAGUUCCAUGAUUUCAAGCUAUGCUAGAUAUGGUUUAGGAGAUGAGGCUUUAGGACUUUUUGUUCUGACCUUGAGGAACAAUGUUAGGCCAACUGAAUACAUGGUUAGCUGUCUUCUGAGUUGUUUUUCCAGUAUGUUAAAAGUAGAACUGGGUUAUCAAAUCCAUUCUUUGGUUCUUAAAUCGGGUUUUGAGUCAGAUUCAGUGGUUGCCAAUGCACUCGUUGAAAUGUAUGCAAAAUUUGGCUUUAUUUUUGAUGCCCUGAAUAUCUUCAAUGAAAUAAGAAGAAGAGAUUUGAUAUCUUGGAACACCAUAUUGAUGGGUCUAACUUUCAAUGGUGAGGUGUCUGUGGCUAUGGACCUAUUCAAUGAAUUAAUUAGUGAAGGUACAUCACCAGACCGAAUAACUCUUGCUGCAGUCUUACUAGCAUGCAACUAUGGGAGUUUGGUUGAUGAAGGAAUUGAAAUAUUGUCGUCUAUGGAGAAGGAAUUUGGGGUUAAACCAGGGGAACAGCAUUAUGCUUUUGCUGUGGAGUUGUUGAGUCGUGCUGGUAGGCUGAAAGAAGCUAUUGACAUUAUUGAAACAAUGCCAUACAGAACUGCUCUUAUUUGGAAGUCAAUUCUCUCUACAUGCGCACUUCAUGAAGACUUGGGAUUUAUUGAAAGGAUGGCAAAGAAAAUAAUGGAGAUGGAACCACAAUCCUCUUUACCUUACUUGGUGUUGGCUCAAGCAUAUCAAAUGAGGGGCAGGUGGGAGAGCAUGGUUCGAGUUAGAAAGGCGGUGGAACAUAAAGGUGCUAAGGAGUUCACAGGAUGUAGUUGGAUAGGGAUAAAAAAUCAUACAUACUCUUUUGAGGCCAAUAAAUUACGUCAGCAUGGAGGGAAAGAUAUUUAUUUUGUAUUGAAGUUACUGCACUGGGAGAUGGAAACUGAGGGUCACGCCUGAAAAAUGUUUUGAUAAAAGAAAAUAAAAGUUGUAGCUAUUGGCAAUGAAUAUUGAUGGUGGGCUGCAUAGUUUACCACUCUUGAAUUCAGUAAAUGAUUUUCGAAAUUAGACCAAUCUUUGAUUAGUCUAGGCCCUGUGAAUCUGCAUCUGCAAGUUUGGCAGUGGUAGCCUAGUUAUUGGGAAGAUUGAGAAGACGAGAACCUUAACAAAAACUGGCGAAACAUCUGAGGCAUUACUGGGUCACAAAUCAUCUACAUUUUUUGCCUCCGAUCGUGAAACCCCCAAAGCUAAGGCACAAUUUGGCAUCAAAUCACAACGAUGAGGACAAUCAGAACAGGAAAUGAAUUGACGCCGAGACUUGCUGAUAUAAAAGCUUCAAAGCAAAUGAGAUGGCUGGUCUUGCUAGGCCCUGGUAAAAAGUCUGAAGAAGUCAUGAAGAAAGCAGUUAGCUGGGACAACCAAGGCGUUGAUGGUUUUCAACGACAAAUUAUUAAAGAACAAGAUAAAGAUCUUGAAAUAUUGGAAGAGAGAGUCGCAAGCACCAAACACAUUGUAUUGGCAGUUAACGAGGAACUUAGCCUGCAUACUAGGCUUCUGGAUAAUUUGGAUGAGCAUGUGGAUACAACCAAUUCCCACAUACGACAGUGAACUAGUACGCUUAAUUACACGUUGCAAGAAACUGGUAUUUAGAAGUCACAGGAGAUCAGUCUAGAAAUGAAAAGAGAGAAGCAACUCAAGACACUGUCUCCAUUGAGAAUAGGAGUAGAUCUGUUACCCUGCUUUUUUUACCUUGUUGCUUGGGUGAUGUUUGCGAUACUUACUCUUCCGCUCCUCCAUAUAUGCUGCUAUUCCGCAGAUGCUGGACAUAAGAUGCAGGGUCAAUUGCAUUUUCAACAGUUAAUCAUGUUAAUUUGGAUCUCUCUGUUUUCAAACAGCAGUCAUUUUCCAUUACUUCAAAAUGGUUUGAAAAAAGAGUGUGUCCUUUUAGCUGAGAAGUUAAUCUCUCAGAUGAAGCAUUUUGCCUAAGAUGCCGGGAACAAGGAUCUCGUUCUUCAAAUGAAUUUCAGCGUUGAGCCUUACCAUCGAAUAAAGCUAAAGCAAUGGAAGAAGGAUCUGAGAGGUUUUGGUUAUGGCAAAACACGUCGAUGGUUCGGCACUUGGUGUAUGCCUUGAUAUUGUAAUCGAGAAGCUGGUGUAUUAUGCAGAGGAGAUAACAAGAGAGGGAAAGUGUUCGGCCUUCUGUGGCCGCACGGCUGAAGUUAAUGAUGUCAUUUUUUCAAAGAUUCUCUACUUUCAAGAUUGUUGCGUGGGUGAGUGGUGUGAAGCCAUAAAUACCCACCUUACCCUCCAAUGAAUACUAACUUAAGAAGAUGGUAGGCAAGCACAACAAAAGCUAGCAAGAAGAAAGAAGGCAUGAUGGCGAGAAAACUCAAACAUUAUAUGCAAGCAACACAGUUGACGGAAGAUCAAAUGGCUACAACGACAGUGAACACAAUCUCUGGUCAGAUCUACGGAGACGAGAAGGUGGUGAAGAGUUGACUCAUGAAGACUCGUGAAUGCUAAAGGCAAAGCAAAUUCGAGCAUUAGUGGAGAUUGAAGAGAGAGUAGAUUGAUAAAACAUUACCUAACAUCCCCAACACUUAUUACAAAGCUCUCUCCCAACGCUCAUUCACCUUUUUUUUUAUCCAAAGUUUUGAUGGCUUUUGCCAUCUCAACUUAGGUUGGAGCUAUCCUAACCUAAGUCAUAAUGUAAUCCAAAUACACAUGUAAUCAAUUGCAAUGAUGUUCAUGCUAGACUUCAUGUUUUUCUU